AACCUAGCACACCUGCGGUGUGUACCUGCGGAGGGAUCAUUAGCGAGUGAAAACUCCCUAUAUCCUGUGAACUUACCUGUUGCUCCGGCGGGCUCGCCUGCCGGAGGCCACUAUAACUAUGUAUUUAUUGUCUCUCUGAGCACCAAAAGAAAUCGUUAAAACUUUUAACAAUGGAUCU
rnacentral:misc_RNA from 1 species